rnacentral:rRNA from 1 species
UACGUAGGGUGCAAGCGUUAAUCGGAAUUACUGGGCGUAAAGCGUGCGCAGGCGGUUAUGUAAGACAGAUGUGAAAUGCCCGGGCUUAACCUGGGAACUGCAUUUGUGACUGCAUGGCUAGAGUUGGCAGAGGGGGGUAGAAUUCCACGUGUAGCAGUGAAAUGCGUAGAUAUGUGGAGGAACACCGAUGGCGAAGGCAGCCCCCUGGGUCGAAGACUGAC